rnacentral:rRNA from 1 species
UACGAAGGGGGCUAGCGUUGCUCGGAAUCACUGGGCGUAAAGCGCACGUAGGCGGGUCUUUAAGUCAGGGGUGAAAUCCUGGAGCUCAACUCCAGAACUGCCUUUGAUACUGAGGAUCUUGAGUUCGGGGGAGGUGAGUGGAACUGCGAGUGUAGAGGUGAAAUUCGUAGAUAUUCGCAAGAACACCAGUGGCGAAGGCGGCUCACUGGCCCGAUACUGACGCUGAGGCACGAAAGCGUGGGGAGCAAACAGG